rnacentral:lncRNA from 1 species
GCCCCACUCUAAGCUGCCGAACAAGAACCUUAGUUUAUAAGGGGCGGAGCUAGCACAGGCUCCUGGAGCAGCUUCGGGUUUUUCCAGGCUCCAGACGCCGCGCGGCAGCUACCCCUAAGAGCCAACUUCCAGCUGCCUCAAGGGCACUUUAACAGCGAACAGCGCCGGGGUAGAUCACGGUCCUCUCUCACACCGUAGAGUCCUUCUGUAAUCACACUGCCCAUGCCCCAAACUAGACCUAAGUCAGAUACUUCCAGAUUGGGGCUGGGGACAGUCCCUAGGACUGCCCAGGCAGAGGUGUAUCCUUAGACUAGGGCGGCCAUGCUGCAGUUCGACUCAAAGUGCUGAGUAACGAUGACCAGGAAGUGUCUCAGUGCGCGUCCUCGCCAACUUUCUGGAUUGCUUUGUGUGUACUGGUGAAUCCAGGAGACCCUUCAGACAUCUUGCUUCCAGCCUCAGAUGAACACAGAAAACAAG